rnacentral:rRNA from 1 species
GUCGAGCGGAUGAAGGGAGCUUGCUCCUGGAUUCAGCGGCGGACGGGUGAGUAAUGCCUAGGAAUCUGCCUGGUAGUGGGGGAUAACGUUCCGAAAGGAACGCUAAUACCGCAUACGUCCUACGGGAGAAAGCAGGGGACCUUCGGGCCUUGCGCUAUCAGAUGAGCCUAGGUCGGAUUAGCUAGUUGGUGAGGUAAUGGCUCACCAAGGCGACGAUCCGUAACUGGUCUGAGAGGAUGAUCAGUCACACUGGAACUGAGACACGGUCCAGACUCCUACGGGAGGCAGCAGUGGGGAAUAUUGGACAAUGGGCGAAAGCCUGAUCCAGCCAUGCCGCGUGUGUGAAGAAGGUCUUCGGAUUGUAAAGCACUUUAAGUUGGGAGGAAGGGCUGUAGGCUAAUAUCCUGCGGUUUUGACGUUACCAACAGAAUAAGCACCGGCUAACUUCGUGCCAGCAGCCGCGGUAAUACGAAGGGUGCAAGCGUUAAUCGGAAUUACUGGGCGUAAAGCGCGCGUAGGUGGUUCGUUAAGUUGGAUGUGAAAGCCCCGGGCUCAACCUGGGAACUGCAUCCAAAACUGGCGAGCUAGAGUACGGUAGAGGGUAGUGGAAUUUCCUGUGUAGCGGUGAAAUGCGUAGAUAUAGGAAGGAACACCAGUGGCGAAGGCGACUACCUGG